CCCCCUGCGGCAUGAGCCCAGGGCGGCUCUGGGCGCCCCCAGUAGAACCCCACCCAGCAUGGGCAGCCAGCUCUAAGGCUCCCCGGGGCGAUGUGAACCCCGAGGAGGCAGCAGGCUCUUCCCCCGCCAAGGCCAACGGACAGGAGAACGGCCACGUGAAAAGCCAUGGAGACUUGUCCCCCAAGGGGGAAGGGGAAUCGCCUCCCGUGAACGGAAGAGAUGAGGCAGCUGGGGCCACCGGCGAUGCCAUUGAGCCAGCACCCCCCACCCAGGGUGCUGAGGCCAAGGGGGAGGCCCCCACCAAGGACACCCCCAAGAAGAAGAAGAAAUUCUCUUUCAAGAAGCCUUUCAAAUUGAGCGGCCUGUCCUUCAAGAGAAAUCGGAAGGAGGGUGGGGGCGAUUCUUCUGCCUCCUCACUCACAGAGGAAGAGCAGGAGCAGGGGGAGAUCGGUGCCUGCAGUGAGGAAGGCACUGCCCAGGAAGGGAAGGCUGUCGCCACGAGAGCCAGGAGCCCCAAGUCAAGGGGGCAGAGGCUGGUGCUGCCUCCAAGGGAGGAGACACGGAAGAAGAGGCAGGGCCCCAGGCUGCAGAGCCGUCCACUCCCUCGGGGCCAGAGAGUGGCUGUACACCAGCCAUGGAGCAGAAUGAGUAGCUGGGUGGGGGCAGGUAGGUUAUCUCGAAGCUGCAAAAACUGUGCCGUCCUUGUGAGGUCACUGCCUGGACCUGGUGCCCUGGCUGCCUUCCUGUGCCCGGAAAGGAAGGGGCUGUAGCCCCUUUCCAGCCACGUCCCCUCUCCCUCCUGUGGAUUUUCCCAUCAUCCCUCUGGUCUUCCUCUUGAGGCCAGUUGAACAUGGUCCCUUACAGUUUCCCAAGUUAGGUUAGUGAUGUGAAAUGCUCCUGCCCUGACUUCUUUCCCUUUCCUCACCCCUGCUGAAAGCAAUUGCUGGUUUUCGUCCCCAAUUCUUUUCCAAGUAGGUUUUGUUUACCCUGCUCCCCAAAUCCCUGAGCCAGAAGUGGGGUGGCUACACUCCUACACCCUGAGUAUCCAGCCUUCCGCCUGUUGAGUUUUUAGUCUCUUGUGCUGUGCCUAGUGGCCCCUGGGCUGUGAAAAACACUGUCUCUGUCCAGGUUUUUAUAAAUGUCUUACUCAAGUUC